rnacentral:lncRNA from 1 species
AGUGUCCCCUUUGAGUGCUGGUUCCUGGUGCUUGGUAGCAGCAUAUUCAAGAAAAGAAAGGUAAGAGAAGAAAAGAAGAAGAAGAUCAAAGAAAUGAUCAAAGAGUUGAUCACGAUCCAGACUUCGUUCAGAUUUGCAUGCUAAAUUUUUUUAGAGAAGAAAAUUCAAUCUUAAGAGGAUUGUUUCAGACUGAUCCUAAGUGGAUACCCAUA